rnacentral:rRNA from 1 species
AGUGAACGCUGGCGGUAGGCCUAACACAUGCGAGUCGAACGGCAGCACAGUAAGAGUUUGCUCUUACGGGUGGCGAGUGGCGGGCGGGUGAGGAAUACAUCGGAAUCUACUUUUUCGUGGGGGAUAACGUAGGGAAACUUACUCUAAUACCGCAUACGACCCACGGGUGAAAGCAGGGGAUCUUCGCACCUUGCGCGAUUGUAUGAGCCGAUGUCGGAUUAGCUAGUUGGCGGGGUAAAGGCCCACCAAGGCGACGAUCCGUAGCUGGUCUGAGAGGAUGAUCAGCCACACUGGAACUGAGACACGGUCCAGACUCCUACGGGAGGCAGCAGUGGGGAAUAUUGGACAAUGGGCGCAAGCCUGAUCCAGCCAUACCGCGUGGGUGAAGAAGGCCUUCGGGUUGUAAAGCCCUUUUGUUGGGAAAGAAAAGCAGCAGGUUAAUACCCCGCUGUUCUGACGGUACCCAAAGAAUAAGCACCGGCUAACUUCGUG